UGGCGACGUGAAGCCGCUGCCCUCACCCUUUCCCUCCCUAGGGCUCCCGUCUCUGGCCAAGGGAACGCCCGCAGAGAGCCGGGGAGCCGAGCGGGGCAGGGGCAGGCGCAGGCAGGGGGGAUGGAGCAGCGAGCACCCAGCAGCUGGCGGAACUGCAGAAUUUUUGUUGAGACAACUUACAGCUGACACCACCUACUGAGCUGAGCCAACAGAGCAGUGUCAACAUAUAAUACUUUCCUUGGUGAGAGAUCUUGGUUCAUGUGUAUCUCAUAACUGAGGAAACAGGAUCGCACUUUAACAGCAGCAAUGCCAGCCCAUCUCAAGUGCUUCUUCUCUUUUCCCUAAAAAGAUAGUUAUUACCAUCUAAGACGGUCGAACACGGGAUUUUUCCUUCUAAAGACUCUCUCUAGCUAAGUGGAAAAGAAACAGGGGUUGUUAAAAUUAAAGCCUUACUUAAUACUUUA